AGGACGAACGCUGGCGGCGUGCUUAACACAUGCAAGUCGAGCGGAAAGGCCCUUCGGGGUACUCGAGCGGCGAACGGGUGAGUAACACGUGAGUAAUCUGCCCCUAGCUCUGGGAUAGCUCCGGGAAACCGGGAUUAAUACCAGAUACGACCACUUUAGACAUCUUCUGUGGUGGAAAGACUUCGGCUAGGGAUGAACUCGCGGCCUAUCAGCUUGUUGGUGAGGUAACGGCUCACCAAGGCGACGACGGGUAGCCGGCCUGAGAGGGCGACCGGCCACACUGGGACUGAGACACGGCCCAGACUCCUACGGGAGGCAGCAGUGGGGAAUAUUGCGCAAUGGGCGAAAGCCUGACGCAGCGACGCCGCGUGGGGAUGAAGGCCUUCGGGUUGUAAACCCUUUCAGCAGGGACGAAGCGAAAGUGACGGUACCUGCAGAAGAAGCGCCGGCUAACUACGUGCCAGCAGCCGC
rnacentral:rRNA from 1 species